rnacentral:lncRNA from 1 species
CCGGGUGGUGCUGAACUGGACAGCUCCCUGCGCGGCCAGCUUCGCGCGCUCCCCGGCUCCCAGGGCGGCCCGCCAGGAGGGGGGCGCGGGCCAGAGUCCUCCCUCCCCUGCGGGGCAGCAAGGCCGGGGCAGAGCGGGGGCUGCCUUUCCUCUUUUCACCCCUCUCCCCAAUCCUAAAAUGAGCGCUCUCCUGGGCUCCCGGAGCUUAGAGGAAGGCGUAGCUAGAGAGAGCUCCGCUCCCUCUCCCUCUCACACUCUCCCCUGCCCUCCCCCCUCCGUGUUUCUUCCAGCUCAGCCUCCUUCUCAUUCCAUCUCUACGUGCCCAGAGCUUCAAAUACAACCCUCCCAUCGCAAUCCGACGGGCACAAAACUUCAACCAGCCGUUUCCUUGCCUGGGAGCCCUGAAAAUAUAACCUGGAUGGACUGUGCUUCUGGGGUCGCCUCCGAGAUAACUUGAGCCCGAACAGCUGUCCCCGAGCCUGUUUUUGCCGUGUUUGUGGGAGAAGGUGAGUGCCACAGCUUACGCCUCCGCCGUCGUGAUCCUCCCCCUACCCCCCACCCCGGGCCUGUCUUUUUGAGUAAUCAGAGCUAAGACACUCUUAGGUAUGCCAUUUAAUAGAUUAGGAAACCGAGGCACAGAAGAGUUACGUAAGAGAUGCCGAAUUGAAAGAAGGUCUUUGAAACGAAAACACCUUGGGGUGUGUGUGCGCCUGUGCGUGUGAUGGGUCCAGGAUGGGACAAGGUGAGAUGGGUGUGCAGGCCAGGACAAGGAUUUGGGUCAUUCACUUAGGGACACAGGGGGAUUUCCAAGGGCUUUAUGCAGAUGGGGUGGCACGUUUUGAUUGAUGCUGGGACUGUGUCACCGUGGUGACGGAGGAAAACUAGGAUUAGAGGGGUUUGAGUAGAUGUCAGGGGGGGAGUAGGGACUCUGACAGCCUUCUGGGGGAAAUGAGUUCCCCCCUUGGUCUCUGGAGCUCUAGGGGACACCGUGAGUGCCAGAGAGUCUCUGGGCAUCAGAGGGGCUCUGUCCCUGCAUCCAGGGUUCUCUCCCCUGCAGGGUUCAUCUCUUACGGGGAAACAUGCACUUGGUGACCUGGCUCCACCCCUCCCCGUCCCAUGCUCCUUUCCCAUGCUCUGAGGUCACAGAGUCCUUCCUUGCCCACCCCCGCCCCUGCCCACCGAGACCCCUGUCAGAGAGCCUGGCACCCCUACAGCCCAGCCG